CCGCCCGUCACACCAUGGGAGCUGGAUUCACUCGAAGGCGUUGAGCUAACUCGCAAGGGAGGCAGGCGACCACAGUGGGUUUAGCGACUGGGGUG
rnacentral:rRNA from 1 species